AUUGAACGCUGGCGGCAGGCCUAACACAUGCAAGUCGAGCGGAUGACGGGAGCUUGCUCCUUGAUUCAGCGGCGGACGGGUGAGUAAUGCCUAGGAAUCUGCCUGGUAGUGGGGGACAACGUUUCGAAAGGAACGCUAAUACCGCAUACGUCCUACGAGAGAAAGCAGGGGACCUUCGGGCCUUGCGCUAUCAGAUGAGCCUCGGUCGGAUUAGCUAGUUGGUGGGGUAAUGGCUCACCAAGGCGACGAUCCGGAACUGGUCUGAGAGGAUGAUCAGUCACACUGGAACUGAGACACGGUCCAGACUCCUACGGGAGGCAGCAGUGGGGAAUAUUGGACAAUGGGCGAAAGCCUGAUCCAGCCAUGCCGCGUGUGUGAAGAAGGUCUUCGGAUUGUAAAGCACUUUAAGUUGGGAGGAAGGGCAGUAAGUUAAUACCUUGCUGUUUUGACGUUACCGACAGAAUAAGCACCGGCUAACUCUGUGCCAGCCGCCGCAGUAA
rnacentral:rRNA from 1 species